CAACCCCCAGCAUGCACAAAACAAGCUAGGCUUAGUGACACAUGCUUCUAAUCCCAGACUGAGGAGGCCAGUCUAGCCUACUUGGUGAGUCUCAGGCCAGUAAGAGAAACUCCAAAAUGAAACAAAACACCAAGGUAGCUGGUGCCUAAGGGGAAUGAUAUUCAGGGUUGACCUCUGGCCUCCACACACAUGCACCCCCAACACAAACACAUAUCCUAUCCCACAUACACAAAGAAGGGGUCCUGCAGGAUGUUCCCUGUGAUGCAUGCUCCGGAAGCCAUGGUGAAAGGGGCCAGCAACUGGGAAAUGGCACACAUUUAUCACCAGCAGCUCUGAAGAUUUAGGCCCACAGUUAAGGCCUACCAGGUGUGUCCAACCUUGUGAUAUUUCAACA
rnacentral:lncRNA from 1 species